UAUUUUACAGAUCAUUGUUGCUGCUGGUGGUCUGGUCCUCACUCACCAGCCAGACAGCACAGGCUUUCCUUGGAUGGCUCCCCACAGCAUCCCCACCGCCCUGCUUGCCCAUCAGCAGGCAGGAGGUGCUCUGUCCCCACACUCGUGGGAGGGAGAACAUGGACCCCAGGGGAAACCCCACAUAGACUUUGCCUGGGCGGCCUGGGAGCCCAGUGCCAGCCUGUGCAGGGUUAUGUCACAGACUCUGGUCUUGAGACCUGUGCUUGCCCUAGGUGCAGCGCCCCCAGAAGUGGACAUCGAGGUCACCUCCUGUCCUUGCUCCGCCACACACAUAGCCCUGUGGAGAGCCCAGGCCACUUCCCGGUAGCCGUGGACACCAAACCCUCUCCUCUCCCCACUUCUCCACCUGCUGCAGGUUUUCUUGCUCAGCAUUUGCAAGGAAACGCUGGAGACAGCGGAGUCCUGCCGGCGUCAGAACACCGGAAAGCAGGAAAUCCACACCACAAGGCGACCUCCUGCGAAAAGCACGGCUGUGCCCUGGCGCGGAACUGUACAGUGCACAGUGCGUCGGGACUCACAGGGCACCCAGAAAUGCGUGCGAUUUUCAUGAUCAAUAAGAACACGACAAGAAGGAAGGAAAAAGGAAGGUCCCAAGGCUACGGGGCAUGUAAGCUCCGAGCCUGCAGGCGGCGGUGGAGACAAAGCUGUGUUCGUGGGUGGGUGGCGCUGGCGUCCGCCCCUCAAGAAGGACCCGGAUUCGGAUCAGCGGGAGAAGCGGCCUCUGCCCUCUGCUUGCUGUGCGGGACGCUGGCAGCUGCCCAGGGCUGGAGCCCGCGUGGCUUCUACUCACCCGUGACGUCAGCUGCUGUGAUCGCCUGGUGCCAGGGACCCGCGGGGCCGCGGGGCCCCACGCAGACCGGCGGACCGGGAGCCACGCGAGGGCCUCCAGAAAUCCCAACGGAGCUGUGGAGUUUGCAAGUCUGGGCCGGGAAUGCGACCACUGAAGAUCUGGCGUGGCAUCCAGGGGCGGCAGGGCCAAGGUCUCCUUCGGUGGCAGCUCAGACUCCGCCCCUCAUGACCUCAUCACACCCAAAAGUGCCGGACUUCACUGUGGCAAUUAAAUUUCAGCAAACGUCCAAACCAUGGCAACUCCUGUAGCCCGAAGCCACCAAAAUCAUCUGCUAGUUACCCACUAAUAUUACACUUGCUAAAAGAACACCAGUUGACCAGCACAGGAACUAUUCGCAAGAACAAAGCAGAGAUUCCUGAAAAAUUGUUGCAAGGUCACAAUAGACAAAUAUAUGGUACAAUCUUUGGAUUUCAGAAAGACAUAACAUUGGCCUCCUAUGUGGGGAAGAAAAACAAAGUAGUAUUGACUGUCAACAUUACACCGUGAUGAUAAAACCAAUUGUGAAGCCCCUUCCGCUGAUCUGUGCUGUGACUCUGCUCUUCCUUGUAAAAGCCUGUAAACACGAUGGGGAAGAGUCUCCUAGAGAGAAACGAAGCUUUGCUUUCCUAGCUCAGCCGACAUUAGACUUGGGGUCGGCCGGGCGUCGGCGGACCGCAGUGGGAAUUUCCAGAGCGCCGCGUGAACUCUGCCGAUCCCUGCAUCGAGCGGAGGCCCUGAGCUGGAGGGCGGCUGCGGCUGCGAUCGCGGGCGGGUGUGAGCGGUCUGCCACCCGCCGAAUCCCAUACUCCGCUGGGGCCGUGUGUCUACGUAGUGAGGCUCCUAGAAAUCAAGCACUUAACAGCUCCCAGGCGAUGAUGCCACCUAAACUGGGCGUGCUUGGGAUGGAUUUAAAAGUGCAAUUGGGAUGCAGCUCAGUGGGAAGUCCGUGGGUUUCAUCCUCGGUACCUCAAAAAAAAUUUUUUUUUGAUUUUUAAAAUUAAAAACUGCAAUUUCAGGCCCGCACUCAGCAGCUCGCCCACAAAGUGCCAUGACUUGAGGUUCUUGGGAACCGACCCUGGCUAACCCGGAAGUCUUGAUUAGGCCGCCUGGAAAAAACCCACUCAGGCUGUGGUUUCCGUAGUGUAGUGGUUAUCACGUUCGCCUCACACGCGAAAGGUCCCCGGUUCGAAACCGGGCGGAAACAUCCCUCUUUUGCCUGUCGCACUGAGCUCCCGCGACUCCCUAGCCACACGGAGGCUUGGUCCCCAGGCUGGGGCGCUCUGUGGAUUCCCCUAGAGCCCACCAUUCCCCGUGCCAAGGCUUUUUGCAGUCCCUGACCACCACCACUUUCGGUUUAAGGUGCUGUUCCAGUACCGGCUGUGGGUAAACAAUCUCCCAGCCGGACCUGGCGGCGACCUGCUCGUCCCCGAGGCCCAGACCCGGGGCGAGCUCUGCCGUCGAUGGUUUGAAAUUCUUUUUUUUUUUUUUGUUAAACAAGGAGCGUCUUCCUUUGGCUCUGCGCCCGUAAAGGACAGCGCAUGAGCACCUCCUCCCGGGUGCUCCCUGCAGCGGGUCCCCGAUCUCACUGCCCCUUAGCGGAGGCAGCAGAGCGCCGGGGCGCGCAGCUCGGAGAGUAGGCGCGCGCAGAGCUGAGAGCCCCACGCGCGGGAGAGCAGCAGCCAGGACACCGUCGCCCGGGAGGCGGUCCCGGACCUCAGCCCCUCCUGGCCUCCUCGGGUUUCCCUCAGCCCCUUGCAUCCCCUUCCGUGCUGUCCCAGAGCUCAGGAUGGAGAAAAAGGUCCUCACAGCGAGUGUCCUUCUUGCCUUCUUUGCGAAUUGUAUUAAAAGCAAAAAUGUUAAACGACUCUGGUUCUUAGGAAAUGUGUGAAGUAGGAAGAUGUAGAAAGUUACAGUUCAAUCCUGUUUGAGGGCCUCUGUCAAUGACUUUGCGAAUUCCCGGGCCUCACGCUACCACUGAGCCGCACUCCAGCUCCCUAGCUAAUUUCUAAAAAUUUCUAAUCCUAAUUUUUGCUAUUUUCCAUCACUACAAAGUGCCUCUGCCACUAGAGGUCGAAGUGCUUCCUUAGCCUGAGGAGCAUAACACUAAUUUUGUCAUACAAGCACAUAAAUGUGGGUCAAUGGGACCCAUGUUUAUUCUUUACAAUAUUUCUAUAGAUGAAUUAUUAAUUUUAAUUGUAUGAGUUUUAUUAUAUUAAACAAUGAGUACUUAACAGGAAAAAAUAUUACAAAAAUAAAGUAUUGAAUUUUUAAUAUUUGUUGAGUGUUUAUAAAAAAGCUUGAAAAUUUUCAACAUCAAAUGUUUUUUGGUGUACAAAGUCCAAAAAAGGACAACAUAAAUAAAUUCUUACAUGAAUUACAAUGAAAAUACCAACAGCACUUUCCAAAAAAAGUAAUCUCUACUUGAAUUAUCACACCUAAGGCAGCCUGCACACAUGACAACACAUUCCAUGCACACACAUCGCUUACACUGACAGCACACGUUUUGCUUUCCUGCCAUUUUUGUAGGACAUAUUUGACAUCUCACUGGUCUUGCUGUUUUGUCAGAAAGUUCUUAUAUUAUACACCGUGUAGUUAACAGGUACAUAGAAUAUCAAUAAACUAAACUAUUAAAUUCUUAAUAUACACUGUGUUUAGCAUAGACAUUACCAUUUUCACAGCUGUAUACUUGCUUAAAAAUACCUAAAAGAUAAUAUCAGAAAUAAAUUUCCAUAUGAACUACAAUGAAAAUAUCAGUAGACAUAUUCUAUGACAAAAUACUCCAUGUCAAAAAUAAGCUUUGCUUCAGGUGUCACACCCAAGGCAGUCCUCACACAUGACAACUGUAUGUUCCAUGUACAAGUAUUGCUCACAUGAUACCAUGUAUGUUUUUCUGUCCUUUCUUGUAG
rnacentral:tRNA from 1 species